rnacentral:rRNA from 1 species
GAUUCCCCCAGUAGCGGCGAGCGAACGGGGAGCAGCCCAGAGUCUGAAUCAGCUUGUGUGUUAGUGGAACGGUCUGGAAAGUCCGACGGUACAGGGUGAUAGUCCCGUACACCAAAAUGCACAGGCUGUGAACUCGAAGAGUAGGGCGGGACACGUGGUAUCCUGUCUGAAUAUGGGGGGACCAUCCUCCAAGGCUAAAUACUCCUGACUGACCGAUAGUGAACCAGUACCGUGAGGGAAAGGCGAAAAGAAC